rnacentral:tRNA from 1 species
AUUUAAAUAGUUUAAUAAAAAUUUUGAUUUGUGGUAUCAAAGAUAGGAAAAAUCCUUUUAAAUA